rnacentral:lncRNA from 1 species
GAGUUAUAUUCCAUUGUGUAUAUAUAUCACAUUUUCUUUAUCCAUUCAUCUACUGAGUGGCAUCUAGGUUUAUUCCACAGUUUAGCUAUUGUGAAUUGUGCUGCUAUAAACAUUAAUGACAUUAAUGUGGCUGUGUCCCUGUAGUAUUCUGUUUUUGAGUCCUUUGGGUAUAGACCAAGGAGUGGGAUAGUUGGGUCAAAUGGUGGUUCCAUCCCCAGCUUUCCAAGGAUUCUCCGUACUGCUUUCCAUAUUGGCUGCACCAAUUUGCAGUCCCACCAGCAAUGUAUGAGUGUGCCUUUUUCCCCACAUCCUUGCCAUCACUUAUUGUUGUUUGUAUUCUUAAUAGCUGCCAUUCUGACUGGAAUGAGAUGAAGUCUUAGAGUAGUUUUGAUUUGCGUUUCUCUAAUUGCUAGAGAUGUUGAACAUAUUUUCAUAUAUUUGUUGAUUGAUUGUACAUCAUCUUCUGAGAUGUGUCUAUUCAGUUCCUUGGCCCAUUUAUUGAUUGGGCUAUUUGGGUUCUUUUGGUGUUUAGCUCUUCGAGUUCUUCUUGGAUAGGCAGAAUUUAUAAUUGUCAAAAUGACCAGACUACCAAAAGCACUAUACAGAUUUAAUGCAAUUCCAAUCAGAAUAUCAAUGACAUUCCUCAUAGAAAUAGAAAAAGCAGUCAUGAAAUUCAUCUGGAAAAAUAAGAGACCCAGAAUAGCUAAAGCAAUCCUUAGCAAGAAGAGUGAAGUAAGUGGCAUCACAAUACCAGAAUUUAAACUAUACUAUAGAGCAAUAAUAACAAAAACAGCGUGAUAUUGACACAAAAAUAGACUGGUAGACCAAUGGUACAGAAUAGAGGACAUAGAGAAUAACCCACAUAACUACAGUUAUCUUAUAUUAGACAAAGGCACCAAAGACAUACAUUGGAGAAAAGAUAGCCUCUUCAACAAAUGGUGCUGGGAAAACUGGAAAUCCAUAUGCAACAAAAUGAAAUUAAACCCCUAUCUCUUACCAUAUACAAAACUCAAUUCAAAGUGGAUCAAGGACCUAGGAAUUCAACCAGAAACACUGUACCUAAUAGAAGAAAAAGUAGGCCCAAAUCUCCAUCAUGUUGGAUUAGGCCCCAACUUUCUUAAUAAGAUUUCUGUAGCACAAGAAUUAAAAUCAAGAAUCAAUAAAUGGGAUGGACUCAAACUAAAAAAGCUUCUUCUCCACAAAAGAAACUAUCAUUGAGUUAGUUUUAAGCACUGCUUUGGUGAUAUGUAAUUUUUUCAUUAUUAGUUCAAAAUAGUUUCUAAAUUAUCUUGUGAUUUCUUUGUCUGUGGGUUAUUUAUAUGUGUGUUGCUUGAUUUCCAACUAUUUGGGAUAUUUCAUAGAUUUUAUUGCUAUUUCUAUUAUCUUCAAUUUUAC